rnacentral:rRNA from 1 species
AGUAUAUAGUUAUUGUCUCGAAACCCAAAGAGUUUGGCGGUAUCUCAGUCUAGUUAGAGGAGCUUGUUCGGUAAUCGAUAAUCCGCGAAAAAUCUUACGUAUUUUUGUAGUCAGUUUAUAUACCGUCGUUAUUAGAUAAUACUAAAAAGUGAAUAAUUAUCUAAAUAUAUUAAGAUAUAAUAUAUCAGAUCAAGGUGUAGCUUAUAAAUACGGCUGAAUGAGCUACAAUUUAAUAAUAUAAAAACGGAUUUUGUUUUUAAAUAAAUAAUUAAAGGUGGAUUUAAUAGUAAUUGUAGUUUUAAUAAGUUAU